rnacentral:rRNA from 2 species
AACCGACGCUGGCGGCGUGCCUAAUACAUGCAAGUCGAACGAGUUCUCGUUGAUGAUCGGUGCUUGCACCGAGAUUCAACAUGGAACGAGUGGCGGACGGGUGAGUAACACGUGGGUAACCUGCCCUUAAGUGGGGGAUAACAUUUGGAAACAGAUGCUAAUACCGCAUAGAUCCAAGAACCGCAUGGUUCUUGGCUGAAAGAUGGCGUAAGCUAUCGCUUUUGGAUGGACCCGCGGCGUAUUAGCUAGUUGGUGAGGUAAUGGCUCACCAAGGCGAUGAUACGUAGCCGAACUGAGAGGUUGAUCGGCCACAUUGGGACUGAGACACGGCCCCAA